rnacentral:rRNA from 1 species
AGCAGCCGCGGUAAUUCCAGCUCCAAUAGCGUAUAUUAAAGUUGUUGCAGUUAAAAGCUCGUAGUUGAAUUUCGGGAUUAGUGCGCCGGUCGUGCCUUCGGUAUGUACUGGUGUUACUGGUUCCUACCUUCUGACGAACCGUCAUGUCAUUAAUUUGGUGUGGCGGGGAAUCAGGACUGUUACUUUGAAAAAUUAGAGUGUUUAAAGCAGGCUCGCGCUUGAAUACAUUAGCAUGGAAUAAUGAAAUAGGACGUUCGAUCCUAUUUUGUUGGUUUCUAGGAUUGACGUAAUGAUUAAUAGGGAUAGUUGGGGGCAUUAGUAUUCAAUUGUCAGAGGUGAAAUUCUUGGAUUUAUUGAAGACUAACUACUGCGAAAAGCAUUUGCCAAGGAUGUUUUCAUUAAUCAAGAACGAAGUUAGGGGAUCGAAGACGAUCAGAUACCGUCGUAGUCUUAACCAUAAAACUAUGCCGACUAGGGAUCGGAUGAUGUUAAUUUUUUAAUGACUCAUUCGGCGCCUUAU